UUUAGACAUUGUGCGGCGACACUCUGUCUCCAGAAGCUUCUGUAAUGAAUGGAAUAUACGGUACGGUAAUUGAUCUGACUCCUGGUGUGUUAUUCUCCUUUCCAACAAACCAACUCGGGGAAGUGUUAGACUUCAACAAUUUUGGGGGCUCGUCCAGGAUUGGAUAAAGGAGAAGGAAUUCGAUCCGGUCCAGUUAACCUACACGGGAUUCACAGGUUCCAGCGCCGGCGCAUCAAAAAGAUGGACUAACUGUCACGUUACCGGAUGGGACGUCGGCGGUGUGCGGACCUGAUACCACACGCAAAGGGGUCGACAAUGGCGAUACACGAGACUACCACAGGGGUUUGCGCUUUCCCCUGGCAUAUUCAACCAGGUACUGAGAGAAGCGGUGCAGGGAUGCUCACUGCCGACAGGGGUAACUUCGGUCCAGUACGUAGACGACCUGCUGCUGGUGGCCCCGACGGCGGCCGCUUGCAUCCAAGCUACAAUGACUUUCACCGGUACACCGC
ensembl:lncRNA